AUGUUGGCCAGGCUGGUCUCAAACUCCUGACCUCAAGUGAUCCACCCACGUCAGUCUCCCAAAGUCCUGGGAUUACAGGCACGAACCGCUGCGCCUGGCUAAUUUUGUGUGUGUGUGUACACACACACACACACACACACACACACACACAUAUAAUUUUUUUUUUUAGAAGAGAUGGGGUUUUGCCAUGUUGGGCAGGCUGGCUUCAAACUCCUGACCCCGUGAUCCGCCCACCUCGACCUCCCAAAGUGCUGGGAUUACAGGCAUGAGCCACUGCGCCUGGCUAAUUUUUUUUGUGUGUAUGUGUAUAUAUAUAUAUAUAUAUAUACACAUACACGCGCACACACACACACACACACACACACACACACACACAUAUAUAUAAUUUUUUUUUAAGAAGAGAUGGGUUUUGCCAUGUUGGCCAGGCUGGUCUCAAACUCCUGACCCCGUGAUCCACCCACCUCGACCUCCCAAAGUGCUGGGAUUAUGGGCAUGAGCCACCACACCCAGCGCAUCUGAACUCUUGGAAUGACCACAGGGUGGAACUCGGCAAAACCAAGGCAGCCAGGGCUCUACUCUGAGCCUCUGCAGUCUCCACAGUGCUGGGUGCAGGACAAGCUCCUUCCAGAAUGCUAGGUGCCAACAGCAUCUCCUUGACAAGCGCCCAAGUCCCUGCUUCCUCUGGAGGACAAGCUCAGGCAUCACGAUGGGAGCAUCUCCGAGGCUCCAUGGAGACACCUGACCGUGGACAGCCAGGCGCCUGGAGAAGGUGCUCAACAUGGAGCAUCAGCCUACACAGAGGAUUCUUUCUCUGCAGGGUUUGUUCUGUGGCUAAAGGAGGGUAUAGAAAAUUAACAAUACACAGGUGGCACAGGGGAAGAGUGAGCCUUAAGCCAAUGAAAAUUCAAGAUAUGGGAGCAAAUGGGCUUACAGGAGCAUAUUUUGAAGGUAAUUAAUAAGUAUAGGGAGUACUUUGAGGGCAUAGGAAACUGAGUAAAGAUGAAAAUGUGGGCUGGGCAUGGUGGCUCACGCCUGUAAUCCCAGCACUUUCGGAGGCUGAAGUGGGAGGAUUGCGUGAGGCCAGAAUUGUAAGACCAGCCUGGGCAACACAGCAAGAUCCCUGUCUCUAGAAAAAAAAAUAUUUAAAAAUUAGUUGGGUGUAUUGCCAUGCACCUGUAGUCUCAGCUACUUGGGAGGCUGAGUUGGGAGGAUCAUUUGAGCCUAGGAGUUUGGAGGCUGCAGUGAGUUAUGAUUGUGCCACUGCACUCCAGCCUGGGCCACAGAGUGAGAUCUGUUUCAAAAAAACAACAAAAGGAAACUGUGGUUCCCCUUUUUAAAUCAGGCUUAAGUCAGUUCGUAGUGGAAAGAGGCCCAGUGUCUUCUAGGCAGUGACUUAGACACUGACACACCUAGCAAACUCGAUCAAUAGAAGGCUCAGGGCAGCCAACUCUGGCAGCGUGUCCCACUCUGUUCCCAAGAGAAAACGGCCUUAUCUGGGCCAAGGGGUCGUGCUAUCGUCAGACCAGCUGUCCAGAGCCUCAGUCUCGCUUUGCUCCAAUUCCCCAUCGGCUCUUCCCUAGUAUUUCAAUCCUGGGAGAGACGGGAUAAUUUUCACGCCUUGGAUAGGGCAUGAAAGCACCAGCCAUUGGAAAAAGGGCUCUCUAUGGCAAUUCACAACUGCUGACGAAUGCACCAACCCGGUGGGGCUGAACUCCUGUGAGCUGCCCCCGGGAGUCUGAGUAUCUCUAGAUGGAAAGAAAGGGAUGCCAGCACUGGGAGGACCAAGGGUGCAGCCUUGACCAGAACCUGCACUGAGGAUGGCCAGGCUAGGAGGUCUUUGGGGCACCUGGCGGCCUUUUUCACUGUUGCGACCUUGCUCUCUGUUUCUUCAAACUCCUACAGCUACAAUUAGACCCUCUCCCCCAAGAUGUCCCAGCCACAAUUCUAUCUGGUUGAGUGGCAACACACACACACUCAUGCACACACACACACACACACUCCACAAUUUACCUCCAAGAAUUAUGAAGUUUUCAUAUAAACCACAGAAUAUAUUUAAUUCAAAUUAAACAUGAAACUAGAAUAAUGUUCGGUCCUUAUCAAGUAGCAAUUACAUUGUUUAAAAAAAAAAAAAA
rnacentral:lncRNA from 1 species